CGGGGUAGAAAGCUUGCUGGAAGGUGGCCUGUUCUUCGGRACAGGUGUUUAUAGCCGGCGGGCGAUGCCCUGGGUUUGACCGAGGACUACUGCCACCUUGGGGAAGCAGUCUUUCCUUGCCCUUGCAGCCGGAAAACAACCUAGUUGAUUUCUGUGCUUGCGCCUAGGGUAGGCCAAAGCUGUGUACCACUUUGCUUGCAUAGGAUCUUCUGAGAACGGUUCGAAGCGACCCGUCUUGAAACACGGACCAAGGAGUCCAACACACAGGCAAGUCUUUGGGUGUCAAACCCGAAGGCGAAAUGAAAGUAAUUUCUUUUCUACAGGUGCCAACCCCCUUUGCGGCGGGAUGCAGCAUCGGCCGGAUCUUGAGGUUUACCAAAGGAUCUGAGUAGGAGCCUGUUUGUUGGGACCCGAAAGAUGGUGAACUAUACCUGAGUAGGGUGAAGUCAGAGG
rnacentral:rRNA from 1 species